rnacentral:rRNA from 1 species
UACAGAGGUCUCAAGCGUUGUUCGGAUUUAUUGGGCGUAAAGAGCGUGUAGGCGGCCAGGUAGGUCUGCUGUGAAAACUCGAGGCUCAACCUCGAGACGUCGGCGGAAACCAUCUGGCUAGAGUCCGGAAGAGGAGAGUGGAAUUCCCGGUGUAGCGGUGAAAUGCGCAGAUAUCGGGAGGAACACCAGCGGCGAAGGCGGCACUCUGGGCUGGAACUGACGCUGAGGAGCGAAAGCGUGGGUAGCAAACAGG